rnacentral:rRNA from 1 species
ACGGGAGGCAGCAGUGAGGAAUAUUGGUCAAUGGGCGAGAGCCUGAACCAGCCAAGUAGCGUGCAGGAUGACGGCCCUCCGGGUUGUAAACUGCUUUUAGUUGGGAAUAAAAGGGAGUACGCGUACUCCAUAUUGUAUGUACCAUCAGAAAAAGGACCGGCUAAUUCCGUGCCAGCAGCCGCGGUAAUACGGAAGGUCCGGGCGUUAUCCGGAUUUAUUGGGUUUAAAGGGAGCGCAGGCGGCCUUUUAAGCGUGUGGUGAAAUGUAGGCGCUCAACGUCUGCACUGCCACGCGAACUGGAGGGCUUGGGUGCGGUGAACGCUGGCGGAAUUCGUGGUGUAGCGGUGAAAUGCUUAGAUAUCACGAAGAACUCCGAUUGCGAAGGCAGCUGGCGGUACCGUUACCGACGCUCAUGCUCGAAAGUGUGGGUAUCGAACAGGAUUAGAUACCCUGGUA